UGCGUAGGCGGCUAGGUAAGUCACGUGUGAAAGGCCGGGGCUCAACCCCGGAUCGGCAUGUGAGACUGGCUGGCUCGAGCACGGUAGAGGCGGGCGGAAUUCCUGGUGUAGCGGUGGAAUGCGUAGAGAUCAGGAAGAACACCGGUGGCGAAGGCGGCUCGCUGGGCCGUUGCUGACGCUGAGGCACGAAAGCGUGGGGAGCAAACAGGAUUAGAUACCCUGGUAGUCCACGCCCUAAACGAUGGACACUAGGCGUCGGGGGGAGCGGACCCUCCCGGUGCCGUCGCUAACGCAAUAAGUGUCCCGCCUGGGGAGUACGGCCGCAAGGCUGAA
rnacentral:rRNA from 1 species